rnacentral:rRNA from 1 species
UACGUAGGUGGCAAGCGAUACUCGGAAUCACUAGGCGUAAAGCGCAGGUAGGCGGUGCAAUAAGUCUCUUGUGAAAUCGCCCGGCUCAACUGGGCGGGGUCAGCGGAUACGGCGGAGCUUGAGCAAGCUAGGGGGCAAUGGAAUUCCCGGUGUAGUGGUGGAAUGCGUAGAUAUCGGGAGGAACACCAGUGGCGAAGGCGGUUGCCUGGGGCUUUGCUGACGCUGAUGCGCGAAAGCGUGGGGAGCGAUCCGG